UACGUAGGGUGCAAGCGUUGUCCGGAAUUAUUGGGCGUAAAGAGCUCGUAGGCGGUCUGUCACGUCGGCUGUGAAAACCUGGGGCUCAACCCCGGGCCUGCAUCCGAUACGGGCAGACUAGAAUUCGGUAGGGGAGACUGGAAUUCCUGGUGUAGCGGUGGAAUGCGCAGAUAUCAGGAAGAACACCCGUGGCGAAGGCGGCUCUCUGGGACGGUACUGACGCUGAGACGCGAAAGCGUGGGGAGCGAACAGG
rnacentral:rRNA from 1 species